ACGGAGGGAAAACACAAUGACCCUUUGGGGGACGGGUGAGUAACGCGUAGGGAACCUGGCCCUUACAGGGGGAUAACAGAUGGAAACAACUGCUAAUACCGCAUAAGCGCCCAGCCUCGCAUGAGGCAGAGUGAAAAACUAAGGUGGUAAGGGAUGGCCCUGCGUCCGAUUAGCUAGUUGGUAUGGUAACGGCAUACCAAGGCGACGAUCGGUAGCCGGCCUGAGAGGGUGGACGGCCACAUUGGGACUGAGACACGGCCCAAACUCCUACGGGAGGCAGCAGUGGGGGAUAUUGCACAAUGGGGGAAACCCUGAUGCAGCGACACCGCGUGGGUGAAGAAGCGCUUCGGCGUGUAAAGCCCUAUCAGUGGGGAAGAAAAAGGACGGUACCCAAAGAAGAAGCACCGGCUAAAUACGUGCCAGCAGCCGCGGUAAUACGUAUGGUGCAAGCGUUAUCCGGAAUGACUGGGUGUAAAGGGAGCGUAGACGGUUGUACAAGUCUGAUGUGAAAGCCCACGGCUCAACUGUGGGAGUGCAUUGGAAACUGUAGAACUAGAGUAUCGGAGAGGCAAGUGGAAUUCCUAGUGUAGCGGUGAAAUGCGUAGAUAUUAGGAGGAACACCAGUGGCGAAGGCGGCUUGCUGGACGAAAACUGACGUUGAGGCUCGAAAGCGUGGGGAGCAAACAGGAUUAGAUACCCUGGUAGUCCACGCUGUAAACGAUGAAUACUAGGUGUUGGGGCCCGAAGGGCGUCGGUGCCGUCGCAAACGCAGUAAGUAUUCCACCUGG
rnacentral:rRNA from 1 species